rnacentral:rRNA from 1 species
GACGAACGCUGGCGGCGUGCCUAAUACAUGCAAGUCGAACGCAGUGGGGACGGGUGAGUAACACGUGGGUAACCUCCCAUCAGAGGGGAUAACACUUGGAAACAGGUGCUAAACCGAUACUGAUGGAUGGCCCCGCGGUGCGUUAGCUAGUUGGUGAGGUAACGGCUCACCAAGGCCACGAUGCAUAGCCGAACUGAGAGGGGGAUCGGACACACUGGGACGUAGACACGGCCCAGACUCCGACGGGAGGCAGCAGUAGGGAAUCUUCGGCAAUGGACGAAAGUCUGACCGAGCAACGCCGCGUGAGUGAAGAAGGUUUUCGGAUCGUAAAGCGCGGUUGUUAAGGAAGCGGUACUUAACCAGAAAGGGACGGCUAACUACGUGCCAGCAGCCGCGGUAAUAC